GACGAACGCUGGCGGCGUGCUUAACACAUGCAAGUCGAACGGUAAGGCCCUGCCUUGGUGGGGUGCUUCAGUGGCGAACGGGUGAGUAACACGUGAGCAACCUGCCCUUGACUCUGGGAUAAGUGCAGGAAACGGGGGCUAAUACUGGAUACGAGCCUCGCCCGCAUGGGGGUGGUUUGAAAGGUUUGGCGGUUUGGGAUGGGCUCGCGGCCUAUCAGCUUGUUGGUGGGGUAGUGGCUCACCAAGGCUUUGACGGGUAGCCGGCCUGAGAGGGUGACCGGCCACAUUGGGACUGAGAUACGGCCCAGACUCCUACGGGAGGCAGCAGUGGGGAAUAUUGCACAAUGGGCGGAAGCCUGAUGCAGCAACGCCGCGUGCGGGAUGACGGCCUUCGGGUUGUAAACCGCUUUCGCCUGUGACGAAGCGUGAGUGACGGUAAUGGCUAAAGAAGCACCGGCUAACUACGUG
rnacentral:rRNA from 1 species